rnacentral:rRNA from 1 species
AGAGUUUGAUCAUGGCUCAGGACGAACGCUGGCGGCGUGCCUAAUACAUGCAAGUCGAGCGGAUUUUACCUUCGGGUAAAGUUAGCGGCGGACGGGUGAGUAACACGUGGGUAACCUGCCCAUAAGACUGGGAUAACAUUCGGAAACGAAUGCUAAUACCGGAUACGCGAAACGGUCGCAUGAUCGAAUCGGGAAAGGCGGAGCAAUCUGCCACUUAUGGAUGGACCCGCGGCGCAUUAGCUAGUUGGUGGGGUAACGGCUCACCAAGGCGACGAUGCGUAGCCGACCUGAGAGGGUGAUCGGCCACACUGGGACUGAGACACGGCCCAGACUCCUACGGGAGGCAGCAGUAGGGAAUCUUCCGCAAUGGACGAAAGUCUGACGGAGCAACGCCGCGUGAGUGAUGAAGGUUUUCGGAUCGUAAAGCUCUGUUGCCAGGGAAGAAUGCUUGCGAGAGUAACUGCUCGCAAGGUGACGGUACCUGAGAAGAAAGCCCCGGCUAACUACGUGCCAGCAGCCGCGGUAAUAC